rnacentral:lncRNA from 1 species
UAAUUUUCCUGUGGAAUUGUUUGUCAGACUUUGACAAGUGUCGCACAGUGUACCCCCCACGUCACCAGGAUACACUCGCACAUGGCAGAUUCAGGACGUCAAAAAAGGCUGUUGCGCCUGGUGUGGAGAGUACAAAGCGGUAUGUAUGUUUUUCUGAGCAAGCAUGACCAUGCUGCAUGCUAUAACAUCAUGUCUUGUACUACACUAAUGCAACCAAUACCUUUGCAGAUGCUUUGCAGGAGGGAGAAGCCCAGCACAGUGGCCAGACUGCAAUCGGGUUUGUGAGGCACUCUUCGUCCAACUUUGCGAGGAGUACCGUGGAUCGAGGCGGAUUGAUGGGGUCCACCACGAGCGCUGGAGUCUGGUUAAGAAAGCGUACCUCCACAUCCGUCAGGUGGUUUUAAACAACGCCACGGUGAUGGAGAAGACCUCACUUCAGCUCCCGGUCGUGAACACGGCAACACUCUCGAGUUGGUACUGCAAACGGGGAAGAGGACAGGAGAAGAGGAUUCUCGAGCAAGGGAUCUGUCCACCUCAGACAACAACUGUGAACCCCGAGAGCCUGCCUCCUGCAGUUCAGAGGAAAGGCAAACCGUGUAUGCCUCAAAGCAUCGUGGCAUAUUCCCACGUAUUUGUUCUGCCACCUAACACUGCAGGGACGGCAACACUGCAGGGACGGAAGAUCAGAAGAGUGAACCCUCCUUCUGAUCUUCUGAGGCCACCAUGCCUCAAUCCCUCUGGUCUGUGCCUCAACCUCACCUGUCUGCCUUACAGCCUGCAGGAGCAUCUGUGGUACAUGUGCCAUACCUACCAUAUACCACCACCCACUAUCGAAAGAAAAAAAGAGAGGAGGAGGAGAAGACUGGUUUCAAGAAGAGGAAAUAUACAAGGAGUAGUGCCCCCAUUCUCUGCCGUCAGUGUCAGAGGGAGCGGGACCCUGCCACCCACAAUCAGUACUUUGGGAACUGGUACUGCCACGCCACAGCCACCAUGACCCUGGCUGAGUGGAGGGCUGCACUUGAAGCCCAGGGUUAUGGGAGGAAAAAGGGAGCUCCACCUUAAAUUGACAGUGUAUCGGGCACAAAAAGUUUUUUUUUUUUAAUGUUGUUUUUAAGUUUUAAUUUAAGCUUUUAUGUGUAACUUUUUGUGCAAUAACAUUUUACUGUGUGUGUGACACAAUCUUAAUUUAAUUUCCCUCUUAAUGCUUUAAUAAAAC